rnacentral:rRNA from 1 species
AUUGAACGCUGGCGGCAUGCCUAACACAUGCAAGUCGAACGGCGGCACGGUCUAGUUUACUAGACUGAUGGCGAGUGGCGGACGGGUGAGUAACGCGUAGGAAUAUACCUUAAAGAGGGGGAUAACUUGGGGAAACUCAAGCUAAUACCGCGUAAGUUCUGAGGAAGAAAGCUGGGGACCUUUUGGCCUGGCGCUUUAAGAAUAGCCUGCGUACGAUUAGCUAGUUGGUGAGGUAAGGGCUCACCAAGGCGACGAUCGUUAGCUGGUCUGAGAGGAUGGCCAGCCACACUGGGACUGAGACACGGCCCAGACUCCUACGGGAGGCAGCAGUGGGGAAUAUUGGACAAUGGGGGGAACCCUGAUCCAGCAAUGCCGCGUGUGUGAAGAAGGCCUGAGGGUUGUAAAGCAUUUUCAGUGGGGAGGAGGGUUGAUUGGUUAAGAGCUGAUUAAUUGGACGUUACCCACAGAAGAAGCACCGGCUAACUCCGUGCCAGCCGCCGCCGUAA